rnacentral:lncRNA from 1 species
UCCCUUGCUUUAAUUAGUUUUAUGUUUAUAUGAAGAGGCUAGGAUAUUUUUUGGAUGAGUUUUUGCUACUUCAUGAAGCAAUAAUCAGCUAUUUCUAAUGGCAAGUAAUCUUGGAUGGCCUAUUUUUAUAGGCAACUGAUUGCAGCCAUUUUGAUUUGGCAUAUGAAAUGAUGAAUCUGAGCCUCCUCUUUCUUUUUCCUUUGCUUUUCUAAAUAUUUAUUGGUUAUGUAUAUUUGUUUCUUUCUAGAUUAGUCUAUUGAUUCCCCUUUAUAAUAUAUAAUAUAAAUG